rnacentral:rRNA from 1 species
UUCUAAGGGCGUUGAAGCAUGAUCGCAAGGACAUGUGGAGCGCUUAGAAGUGAGAAUGCCGGUGUGAGUAGCGAAAGACGGGUGAGAAUCCCGUCCACCGAUUGACUAAGGUUUCCAGAGGAAGGCUCGUCCGCUCUGGGUUAGUCGGGUCCUAAGCUGAGGCCGACAGGCGUAGGCGAUGGAUAACAGGUUGAUAUUCCUGUACCACCAUUAUUCGUUUUAAGCGAUGGGGGGACGCAGUAGGAUAGGCGAAGCGUGCUGUUGGAGUGCACGUCCAAGCAGUGAGAUUGAGUGUUAGGCAAAUCCGGCACUCUUAAGAUUGAGCUGUGAUGGGGAGAGGAACUUGUUCCUCGAGUCGUUGAUUUCACACUGCCGAGAAAAGCCUCUAGCUAGAAUAACGGUGCCCGUACCGCAAACCGACACAGGUAGUCAAGAUGAGAAUUCUAAGGUGAGCGAGCGAACUCUCGUUAAGGAACUCGGCAAAAUGACCCCGUAACUUCGGGAGAAGGGGUGCUCUUUGAGGUUCACGCUUCGAAGAGCCGCAGUGAAUAGGCCCAAGCGACUGUUUAUCAAAAACACAGGUCUCUGCUAAACCGUAAGGUGACGUAUAGGGGCUGACGCCUGCCCGGUGCUGGAAGGUUAAGAGGAGUGGUUAGCGCAAGCGAAGCUACGAAUCGAAGCCCCAGUAAACGGCGGCCGUAACUAUAACGGUCCUAAGGUAGCGAAAUUCCUUGUCGGGUAAGUUCCGACCCGCACGAAAGGCGUAACGAUUUGGGCACUGUCUCAACGAGAGACUCGGUGAAAUCAUAGUACCGGUGAAGAUGCCGGUUACCCGCGACAGGACGGAAAGACCCCGUGGAGCUUUACUGUAGCCUGAUAUUGA